rnacentral:tRNA from 1 species
GGAGGGUUGGCAGAAUGGUAAUGCGCUGGUCCCGAAAACCAGUGGGGGAAACCCCUUGCAGGUUCGAGUCCUGCACCCUCCGCCA